CGUUACCUAAACCGUUGCUUCGGCGGGCGGCCCCGGGGUUAUCCCCGGGCGCCCCUGGGCCCCACCGCGGGCGCCCGCCGGAGGUCACCAAACUCUUGAUAAUUUAUGGCCUCUCUGAGUCUUCUGUACUGAAUAAGUCAAAACUUUCAACAACGGAUCUCUUGGUUCUGGCAUCGAUGAAGAACGCAGCGAAAUGCGAUAAGUAAUGUGAAUUGCAGAAUUCAGUGAAUCAUCGAAUCUUUGAACGCACAUUGCGCCCGCCAGUAUUCUGGCGGGCAUGCCUGUUCGAGCGUCAUUUCAACCAUCAAGCCCCCGGCUUGUGUUGGGGACCUGCGGCUGCCGCAGGCCCUGAAAAGCAGUGGCGGGCUCGCUGUCACACCGAGCGUAGUAGCAUACAUCUCGCUCUGGGCGUGCUGCGGGUUCCGGCCGUUAAACCACCUUCAUAACCCAAGGUUGACCUCGGAUCAGGUAGGAAGACCCGCUGAACUUAAGCAUAUCA
rnacentral:rRNA from 1 species